GACGAACGCUGGCGGCGUGCCUAAUACAUGCAAGUAGAACGCUGAAGCUUGGUGCUUGCACCGAGCGGAUGAGUUGCGAACGGGUGAGUAACGCGUAGGUAACCUGCCUGGUAGCGGGGGAUAACUAUUGGAAACGAUAGCUAAUACCGCAUAAGAGUAGAUGUUGCAUGACAUUUGCUUAAAGGGUGCAAUUGCAUCACUACCAGAUGGACCUGCGUUGUAUUAGCUAGUUGGUGAGGUAACGGCUCACCAAGGCAACGAUACAUAGCCGACCUGAGAGGGUGAUCGGCCACACUGGGACUGAGACACGGCCCAGACUCCUACGGGAGGCAGCAGUAGGGAAUCUUCGGCAAUGGACGGAAGUCUGACCGAGCAACGCCGCGUGAGUGAAGAAGGUUUUCGGAUCGUAAAGCUCUGUUGUAAGAGAAGAACGAGUGUGAGAGUGGAAAGUUCACACUGUGACGGUAUCUUACCAGAAAGGGACGGCUAACUACGUG
rnacentral:rRNA from 1 species